GUCGUUGUAGUAUAGUGGUGAGUAUCCCCGCCUGUCACGCGGGAGACCGGGUUCGAUCCGGCAACGCG
rnacentral:tRNA from 1 species